rnacentral:tRNA from 1 species
AGAGAUGGCUCAGUGGUUGAGAGCACUUGUUGCUCUUGCAGAGAGGAUCUGGGUUCAAUUCCCAGCACCUCUC